rnacentral:tRNA from 1 species
GGAGGCGUGGCAGAGCGGUCUAAUGCACCCGGUUGUCACCCGGGCAAAGGCUACCUCGCGUGGUCUUUCGUGGGUUCGAAUCCCACCGCCUCCA